AUGUAGACGAUCUUCGGCGGAGCUAGCCGGCUAACUACUAGCUAGCUCAACAGACGCCAUUAGUUGGGGUGAAAAGCAGACAUUCGCAUCAGCUUGAAAGGGGAAGUAGCGCUCAGUUCAGACCCAUUUCUCCCACACUUGUUGGUAGAUAUUGAUAAAAGUCAUAUUCGCUUAUGCUGUCGAGGUGUUUCUCUCCUGAUUUUAGCUCCUUUUUUUAAAGUCGGAAGCUGAUGUGAGCUACGCAGGACUUCAGUUCCGAUCGGGGUUAGCAUUAGCAGCAUUAGCUUGUAGGUAACGGCUGUUUUGAUCAAAGAAGACCCGAGGACUUCUUCAAUAAACUGCCAGCCAUGGCGGCCGGGGGGACGGGCGGCAAAACGUACUCGUUCAAGGUGGUGUUGCUGGGGGAAGGCUGUGUGGGGAAGACGUCGCUGGUGCUGCGAUACUGCGAGAACAAAUUCAACGACAAACACAUCACAACUCUACAGGCGUCCUUCCUCACAAAGAAGCUCAACAUCACAGGAAAGAGAGUGAACCUGGCCAUAUGGGACACAGCCGGCCAGGAGCGUUUCCAUGCGUUAGGGCCCAUCUACUACAGAGACUCCAACGGAGCCGUACUAGUGUAUGACGUCACAGACGAAGACUCCUUUCAGAAGGUGAAGAACUGGGUGAAGGAGUUGAGGAAAAUGUUGGGGAACGACAUUUGUUUAUGUAUAGUAGGUAAUAAAAUAGAUUUGGACAAAGACAGACAUGUUUCAGUGGAAGAGGCUGAGAGUUACGCCGAGUCGGUGGGAGCCAAACACUACCACACGUCAGCCAAGUUAAACAAAGGCAUCGAGGAACUCUUCCUGGAUCUCUGUAAAAGGAUGAUGGAAACGGCGCAGGCCGAGGAGAGGUUGAAGGGCAACGGAGCCAGCCAAUCAUCAAGUAGGCGGGGCGUACAGAUCGUCGACGACGAACCACAAGCCACGCCCGCCGGAGGAUGCUGCUCUUCUGGCUAACAGACACAGACACACACAUAUACACACACACACACACACACACACACACGCACACACACACACACACACACACACACACACACACACACACACACACACACACACACACACACACACACACACACACACACACACAGAAACACAUACACACACACACACACUAAUAAUACCGUGCAUGUUUGAUUUCUGUAAAAGGCUUUUUCUGUUUGACUUAAAAAAAAAAAAGGU